UAAUUAAAGAUAAAUUAUUUUAUUGUCUCGAAUUUAAAAGAGUUAAAAAAUUAUUAAUUUUAUUGUAAAAUAAAUAUUUAUAAUAAUUUUUUAGUAAUGAAACGUUAGUCGUUUUUAAAUAUAUCUAGUUUUUUAAGAAAUGAAUUUAAUUCAGUGAUUUAAUUUUAUAAGAUUAAUUAAUUAAUUUUAUAGAUUAAAUUUAUAAUAUCUUAAGGGAUAAGCUUUAAGAUAAAAGUUUAAAAAUUUAGUUAGACUAAUAAAUUAAGUAGGAUUAGGAGUUUUUAUCUAUAAUAGUGUUUUAUAACUAUUUUUAUUAAUUAUAUGAUUUAUAUUAAUUUUAAGUUUUUUAUUAAAAUGAUUUAUUAAAUAAUAAAAUAGAUGUAAUAAUGAUGAAAUUAGUAUAAUUUGUUGUAAUAAUAAAGUGAUGAUUUAAGGUUAUAUAAAGGAAUUCGGCAAAGAUAUUUUUCGCCUGUUUAUUAAAAACAUGUCUUUUUGAUAAUAAUUUAAAGUCUAAUCUGCCCACUGAUAGUUUAAAUGGCCGCAGUAUUUUGACUGUGCAAAGGUAGCAUAAUAAUUAGUUUUUUAAUUGAAAGCUGGAAUGAAUGAUUGAACGAGAAAAUAACUGUCUCUAUAUAAUUUAAUUAGAAUUUUAUAUUUAAGUUAAAAAGCUUAAAUUAAAUUAAAAGACGAGAAGACCCUAUAGAGUUUUACAUUAUAUUUUAUGGUAAUAUUUAGAAUUUAUUUAUUUAAUAAAGUUUAAUGUUUUGUUGGGGUGACAAUAAAAUUUAAUUAACUUUUAUUAAUAAUUUUACAUUAAUUUAUGAUUUUUUGAUCCAUUGAUUAUGAUUAUAAGAUUAAAUUACCUUAGGGAUAACAGCGUAAUUUUUAUUAGAGAGUUCUUAUCGAAAAUAAAGUUUGCGACCUCGAUGUUGGAUUAAAAUUAAUAUUUGGUGCAAAAGCUAAAAUAUUAGGUCUGUUCGACCUUUGAAAUUUU
rnacentral:rRNA from 1 species